rnacentral:rRNA from 1 species
AGUAACGCGUAGGAAUCUAUCUUUGGGUGGGGACGAACCGUGGGAAACUACGGCUAAUACCGCAUGAGGCCUGAGGGCCAAAGCUUGUGAGAGCGCCUGAGGAGGAGCCUGCGUCCGAUUAGCUAGUUGGUGGGGUAAAGGCCUACCAAGGCUGCGAUCGGUAGCUGGUCUGAGAGGAUGAUCAGCCACACUGGGACUGAGACACGGCCCAG